rnacentral:tRNA from 1 species
GUGUCUUAUGAAGAAAGUGACAGAGUGGUUAUGUGGUUGGCUUGAAACCAGCCUACGGGGGUUCAAUUCCUCCCUUUCUCG